CCAGCCCAGAGAAGGGAAGGAGAGCUGGCUGUAAUUUGGAGAAGCAGUGUUAUUGACUGGAGGAGAGGAGUACUAGGGGAGGGAAACCCUGCCUGUACAGAGGAUUGAGAGAAACCCUGCUCAAGGGGAAAGAGGAUGGGGAGCCGCAACGGAGAAAUUAAGUGACCUGCCCAGAGUCCCACAUGGAGUCAGUGGCAGAAUUGGAAAUUGAACCCAGAUCUUGAGUUCCAGGCCUGUGCUGAACCUGAAGAGCACCUUUUUCCUAGUAAACGUAUGACCAUGUACCUGGAGGAGGAUUAAUGAGAGACAGGGAAACCUCUUAAACGAAAAUGGCUGCAAGCAGGAACCAAGGGCUGGGUCUGGAUCCUGGGAGCCACCCUCAGUGUUGCAGCAGGAAAGAUCAAGCAGUAACAUGAAUCUGCAUUAUUGUGGCUCUCUGAACAAAAGUAUACCAAUUCUUCUCCCUAAUAGUCUGGGAGUUCUGCACCAGUACUGUAAAGUAUCAGAAAGCCACAGGGUAGGACUCAGAUUGUUUUGCCUUUAAGUUCAGCCUGCUUCAUGAGCUUCUGUUUGAAGGCAGAAACAAGUUCUCUUAACCUGUGAACAUUGUAACCCAUUUCACACAUGGAAAACGGGGCAGGGCAAAGCUGAUAUUUUAUAUCUGGUUGACAAAAGCCACGAAAUGUAGAGUCUCAGAUCCUUAAUGUUUAUUUGAGAUUCAGGUACAAUUAGACAGAUGUUAUACUAAGUCUGGGUGAUGAAGCAGAUCUGUAUGUUCUGACAGCAUUCAGCUUUCUGUGGGGAAGGUAAUUAUUAACUCCCAAGACACACCUGCUGAGUCAGCCGCUCCCGCUCCUUCUCCAACAUGUAGGUGACAUCAUCUCCUUCAGCAGUGUCCUGGGCAUGCCGCUGCCUCUCUUCCUCAAGAUCCAGUAUCACCUUCCAAACACAGACACUUCAGUCAUCUUUUUAUGGAAAAGCAUUUCCAUACAUGCUCAGAAACCCACUGUCCACGUGCCCUUAUUUUAGCCUUCAAUAGAUAAUUUGUAUGUUUGUCUCCAAUGUGUAGUGCAGCUUUAAAAAAGUAUUUUCCUCACAGAAUUUGUUUUGGCUAGUAAAUCCCCUCUCAGGCACCAAAGGUCAUUAAGACAAAAACCAGGAGCCUCCGGAGUAUGUUUUUAGAUAGUGGUUCAAGGGAAAUUUGCAUUAUGAUAUGCAGUUCUCUUUCACUCCUGGGGGAAUCCUGCACCACUGUGCAUGUGCAGAAUUUAUAUCCCCUGCAGAAAAAUUAUUUUCUGACUGGGAAACAAAGGGAAGCCACAAGAGCAGUCAGGUGACCUAACCCAGCAGUAUGUUUUGGGUGCCCAGGGCAGUUAGCAGAGAGGUGGGGCAGGGGAUGACCUGGCUGGUGGCUGUGGCUACUCUGGGCCAGGCUCAGCUGCUUGAGCUGGAGAGGACAGGACUUCUUUUUCCCCUGCACAGCAUCUGGGGUGGGGUCAGACCCACCCCCAGAGUUCUUCCCCCACUGCAGAAAGCUCUGCAAUCUCCUGCACCUAUUGCUCCUCAGCUGCAGGGGGCGAGGGAUCCCUGUAUAGGGAGCAGCUCCACCAUCCACCCAAUGCCCAUGCAGCCAGACCCCCCCCCCCCCCGA